UACGGAGGAUGCGAGCGUUAUCCGGAUUUAUUGGGUCUAAAGGGUGCGCAGGCGGAUUUUUAAGUCAGCGGUCAAAUCGUGGGGCUCAACCCCAUCCAGCCGUUGAAACUGGGGAUCUAGAGUGUGCGAGAGGUAUGCGGAAUGCGUGGUGUAGCGGUGAAAUGCAUAGAUAUCACGCAGAACCCCGAUUGCGAAGGCAGCAUACCGGUGCACAACUGACGCUCAGGCACGAAAGCGUGGGUAUCGAACAGG
rnacentral:rRNA from 1 species